UACGUAGGGUGCAGGCGUUAAUCGGAAUUACUGGGCGUAAAGCGUGCGCAGGCGGCUCCUUAAGUCAGAUGUGAAAGCCCCCGGCUCAACUGGGGAGGGUCACGCGAUACUGAUCGACUCGAAGGCAGGAGAGGGUAGUGGAAUUCCCGGUGUAGUGGUGAAAUGCGUAGAUAUCGGGAGGAACACCAGUGGCGAAGGCGGAUCUCUGGGCCUUGCCUGACGCUGAGGCGCGAAAGCGUGGGGAGCGAACAGG
rnacentral:rRNA from 1 species